CACGUAGGGGCCAAGCGUUGUCCGGAUUUAUUGGGCGUAAAGAGCUCGUAGGCGGCUCGGUAAGUCAGGUGUGAAACCUCCAGGCUCAACCUGGAGACGCCACCUGAUACUGCUGUGGCUAGAGUCCGGUAGGGGAGCGUGGAAUUCCUGGUGUAGCGGUGAAAUGCGCAGAUAUCAGGAGGAACACCAGCGGCGAAGGCGGCGCUCUGGGCCGGAACUGACGCUGAGGAGCGAAAGCGUGGGUAGCAAACAGG
rnacentral:rRNA from 1 species